CGGACGGGUGAGUAACGCGUGGAGAACCUGCCGUAUACUGGGGGAUAACACUUAGAAAUAGGUGCUAAUACCGCAUAAGCGCACAGCUUCGCAUGAAGCAGUGUGAAAAACUCCGGUGGUAUACGAUGGAUCCGCGUNUGAUUAGCUGGUUGGCGGGGUAAAGGCCCACCAAGGCGACGAUCAGUAGCCGGCCUGAGAGGGUGAACGGCCACAUUGGGACUGAGACACGGCCCAAACUCCUACGGAAGGCAGCAG
rnacentral:rRNA from 1 species